rnacentral:rRNA from 1 species
UGGGGAAUAUUGCACAAUGGGCGAAAGCCUGAUGCAGCGACGCCGCGUGAGGGAUGACGGCCUUUGGGUUGUAAACCUCUUUCAGUAGGGACGAAGCGCAAGUGACGGUACCUGCAGAAGAAGCACCGGCUAACUACGUGCCAGCAGCCACGGUAAUACGUAGGGUGCGAGCGUUGUCCGGAAUUACUGGGCGUAAAGAGCUCGUAGGCGGUUUGUCACGUCGUCUGUGAAAUCCUAGGGCUUAACCCUGGACGUGCAGGCGAUACGGGCUGACUUGAGUACUACAGGGGAGACUGGAAUUUCUGGUGUAGCGGUGGAAUGCACAGAUAUCAGGAAGAACACCGAUGGCGAAGGCAGGUCUCUGGGUAGUGACUGACGCUGAGGAGCGAAAGCAUGGGUAGCGAACAGG